rnacentral:misc_RNA from 1 species
AGUGACCUGGGAUUGGAUGUUAAGAACUUGAUGUGAUGUGGUGCUCAUAUCUGCAUCUCUUUGGUGGUUGAGUGCUAGAAUUGAUCAAGUGUGGAUGGGUCGCAAAUAAAGCUGGAUACUCAGAUCUAAGUGCUAUUCCUACCAUCCCACACAUCAGCUGCAUAAACAAAACUCUUCCCCCUGGACUUGGUGAUACAGAUAGGGAGGGUGUAGUUCUCCUCUUAUCUGGUAUGGAUGGGGAGGAUGUCUUAACUUUGGCCACUGGUUCUAUGGUGCUCUAGAAUUUUUCUUUCUUCUACAUGUUGACUAUUUUCUUAAUCUGCUGGGAAAGGCCAUUAUGAAAAGUGUGAGGUUGUAUUUUAUCAUAUGGUGCAUUUAAUUUUCAUUUUUUAAGUCGCUUCUAAAGAUAGGUGGUAUUGUCUGUUUCUUUUGGUUGCUGGUCACUCUGAGGUGGAAGUGGCAAUGAGGCUUUUGGAUCAAGGAUUAUAAUGGGUUCUUGUGGAUAAUUGGGUUGUUUCUGGAAAUUUUUGCAGAUCAAGGUCAAGAUCAAGAUCUCCUCU